rnacentral:rRNA from 1 species
GUGAGGAAUAUUGGACAAUGGGCGCAAGCCUGAUCCAGCCAUGCCGCGUGCAGGAAGACGCAUCUAUGGUGUGUAAACUGCUUUUGUACGGGAAGAAACACUCCCUCGUGAGGGAGCUUGACGGUACCGUAAGAAUAAGGAUCGGCUAACUCCGUGCCAGCAGCCGCGGUAAUACGGAGGAUCCAAGCGUUAUCCGGAAUCAUUGGGUUUAAAGGGUCCGUAGGCGGUUUAAUAAGUCAGUGGUAAAAGCCCAUCGCUCAACGAUGGAACGGCCAUUGAUACUGUUAGACUUGAAUUACAAGGAAGUAACUAGAAUAUGUAGUGUAGCGGUGAAAUGCUUAGAUAUUACAUGGAAUACCAAUUGCGAAGGCAGGUUACUACUUGUGGAUUGACGCUGAUGGACGAAAGCGUGGGGAGCGAACAGGAUUAGAAACCCGGGUAGUCC